rnacentral:rRNA from 1 species
CCUACGGGUGGCAGCAGUGAGGAAUAUUGGUCAAUGGGCGAGAGCCUGAACCAGCCAAGUCGCGUGAAGGAUGACGGCCCUACGGGUUGUAAACUUCUUUUGUCAGGGAGCAAUUGGGUCCACGCGUGGGCUUAGCGAGAGUACCUGCAGAAAAAGCAUCGGCUAACUCCGUGCCAGCAGCCGCGGUAAUACGUAGGGGGCGAGCGUUGUCCGGAUUGACUGGGCGUAAAGGGAGUGUAGGCGGCAUAUUAAGUUAUGUGUGAAAGCCCGCGGCUCAACCGCGGAAUUGCACAUAAAACUGGUAGGCUGGAGAACAGGAGAGGUAAGUGGAAUUCGUGGUGUAGCGGUGGAAUGCGUAGAUAUCGGGAGGAACACC